GUCUAUGGCCAAACCACCCUGAACGUGCCCGAUCUCGUCUGAUCUCGGAACCUAAGCAGGGUCGGGCCUGGUUAGUGCUUGGAUGGGAAAAAACCCUAAUAUCUGGACUGAUACAGC
rnacentral:rRNA from 1 species